UCUGAAUUUCCACCCUUCAUUCGAUUACCAGGUCUUUUAUUAGAUAAUUGGAACUAAACGUUAAAAUCUUCUGAUGGCUCCAGGUGUCCCUUGGCGUGCAGCUACAUCACUCCAGGCUCUGCCUCCGUCUUCACGUGGCCUUUUCCUCUCUGCAUCUUCUCUUCUUUUAUAAGGACACUUAUCAUUGGAUUUAUGGCCCAUCCUAAUCCAGGAUGGCCUCCCUGGCUCCUGGCACAAAGCUCAUAAAACCCUUGGAAUUUCCUGAGUGAUAGGGGUGAGAAGAGUGUCUUCUGUUAUUCCUAACAAGCUGCUUUCAAUCACACCAGAGUUUAUGCUAAUGAGUUGGCUCUUAGAGGAUGGGGGCUGGUUGCCAGGGGAACCAACCACUUGAUGAGAGGGUUAGAAAUUUCAGCCCUGCCCCAGACCUCUAGGGAGGGAUGAGGGGCUGGAGAUGGAGUUAAUCACCAAUGGCCAAUGAUUUAACCAACCAUACCUAAUGAAACCGCCAUAAAUACCACUAAAUGAAGGCGUUCUGAGAGCUUCCAGGUUCAGCGCGGCGAGGGGAAGCUACUGCCUUUGGUCAGCUACGGCAAAAUGCUCUACAUUUGUCUCCAUCAGCCCGCCAGACCCCGGAUCUGAGAAGCUUGUCAACUAGGUCCAGAUUUUAGUUCACAGGAAGCCCAGGGGUAAGGCAGACUUCAGGUGAGAGAAUGAAGUCACUCUGUGAGGUCAUGGAGCAUCCAGGAGUUUUCCUUUUCCCUGCUCUGCAAAAAGAAGCUGGACUUGGUUAUCUUCAGCUAGGUGGCAAAAUUUCUAUGCAGCUCUGGGCAUGGCAUCAGGACAGACAAAUCUGAACUGUCUCUGUAGAGGCAGAGAGACCAUCUCUUCCUGUGCAUCUCUGCUAGUUAGGAGGACAUCCUCCCAGGAGCCUUGAAGAAGCCAUCCCUCCUCAUCUUACUAGCAAGAAUCAGAUUGCCUGCCCAAUUCUUGAGUUGGAUACUAGCAAGAUUACAGGCAUUGCCUCUGGUCCAAUCAGAUACUCCAAGGAGCUAAAGGUGGCAUCAGCUUUUCCACGGACAUUGUGCUUCAUUGGGGAAAGAUUUGGGGGACAAAGAUGUGAAGAAAAUCACACGUCUAAUUGAAGUAUAAAUGAGGAAAUACAUUCUGAGAGGCAAAUGCUGGUUUUCUAACACACAUGUCUAGGAGGGUUUGUUUGCUAUUGCUUCUGUUGUUGAUAGAACAACAUUUCUGAGAGUAUAAGAUUAUGAAUGCCUGCCUUUGGGUCAGAAAAAAAACUAUCAUAAAGUUUAUGCAUUCUUUGGAUUUGAUUUUCAUUGCUGAACAUGAUAGAAUUCAAAGACGACAGUGCUCUUCAUACAGCAAAGUUCUUGUUGGAGGAAGAAUGGAAAUUACAAUGCUGAAAUAAUACCUGACGACUUCCCAUCCUGAAAAUGCCUCGGACAUUGUAAUUAUCUCAUAAAAGAUACUGACUCAAGAUUUCAAAAGUCCCUACACAGAAUCCUCAGUUAUGCAAAGCUUGUCAAAGACAGUCCAUUUGAUUUGAGGAUGAAUAAAAUAAAGCACUAUAAAUUCAAGUGAAAGAGUCUCAGGGCAUUCCUGCUUUCUCCAAUCCAAACCUACCGAUGUUUAAAAUGUAAACUUGGAGUUCUGAUUCCAUUUGCACUGUAGGACUGGGAAGAACUCCUGAGCAUGCUCACACACAUCAACCAAACAAAAUACAUUGGGUCAUGGCAGAGGGGUGAUCCUUUCCAGGAAAUCUUAGUAAUAUUUUUAGAUGUAUGACAACUUAAAUGGGCUAUUCUGAACUAAUUACUAAGGCACAUGUAAAUCUAGUUUUUAAUAACUUUUCUUUACACUAAAUAUCUUUGUUUGACUUUACCCACUCAUAGACAAAGACACUCCUUUUAGCAAAAUAGUUAAUUAAAUUACCAUAAUUCAUUAGGAGUGACAAAACUUGGGAGAGAAGCUUCCCUGAAAGUUUUGAUGGAAUGAGCAAGAGAAGUUUCAUUUUUAUUCCUGUUUAUGUACCUGUCAAAUUCCCUUCAGGAACCACUGCUUACUCUAUGCCUCCUCAAUCAAUUCUUUUGCUUCUUAAUUCUUCAAUUCCCAUCUGCCCACAACGGGAAUAGCAUCCAAUUUACAAUGGAUUUAUUACCUCUCUGGUAAUUGUGGGGCCCUCCCUGUAGAGGUGCCUUACAUUACUCCAGGAAACCUCAAUAAUGGAGUACAUACUAUAUUUCCUUGAAUCUAAGAAAACUUGGUUGU
ensembl:lncRNA